rnacentral:rRNA from 1 species
GAUGAACGCUGGCGGCGUGCCUAAUACAUGCAAGUCGAGCGAACAGAUAAGGAGCUUGCUCCUUUGACGUUAGCGGCGGACGGGUGAGUAACACGUGGGUAACCUACCUAUAAGACUGGAAUAACUCCGGGAAACCGGGGCUAAUGCCGGAUAACAUUUAGAACCGCAUGGUUCUAAAGUGAAAGAUGGUUUUUCUAUCACUUAUAGAUGGACCCGCGCCGUAUUAGCUAGUUGGUAAGGUAACGGCUUACCAAGGCAACGAUACGUAGCCGACCUGAGAGGGUGAUCGGCCACACUGGAACGGAGACACGGUCCAGACUCCUACGGGAGGCAGAAGUAGGGAAUCUUCCGCAAUGGGCGAAAGCCUGACGGAGCAACGCCGCGUGAGUGAUGAAGGUCUUCGGAUCGUAAAACUCUGUUAUUAGGGAAGAACAAAUGUGUAAGUAACUGUGCACGUCUUGACGGUACCUAAUCAGAAAGCCACGGCUAACUACGUG